rnacentral:tRNA from 1 species
GAGGGUAUAGCUCAGUGGUAAGAGUGCAUGUUUAGCAUGCACAGGGUCCUGGGUUCAAUCCAUAGUACCUCUG